rnacentral:lncRNA from 1 species
GAGCGGCGGCAGCGAGCGGUCCGUCUCGCACGCGCGGGCACCGCGCUGGUCCUGGGCUGCAGGUUUCCCAGAUGAUGGCAUCCGAGAACUUAAACAAAGGGGGCUGCCGCCGGCGCGCAACGGCUGCGGAAAGUUGCGGUGGCGGAUUUCCAAGGAGCGUGGCCACGACCAGAGCUCUUGGCGAUGCGAGCCCCCGCUUCCCACCCCCGCCGAUCAGAGAAGGGGGCCGGCUGGUGAAGGGAAGAGGAAACUUUGAAACCACUGGGGACACAUCUGUCUAUAGGAAAGAUGUCGCAUCAGACUGUGACUGUUGCGAGGAGAAUGAAAAAGGACUCUUGUUUCAGAGGCAACCAAGAGCUCCGGCAAUAGCAACUUCAGAGAAAUGCACCAUCGCAAGAAGUUUUCCUAGGACAGAACAAAACUUGAAACGAGAGGACCAGAGGGGGAGAGCAGGAGCCAGCCUCCCCUCUCCGCACUCGCGAGCAGCCAGCAGCACCACGCCUUCAAGGACGAAAAAGUUUUACUACUCUAAGGGAAAACGAGUGAAAUGUGUUCCUGAGGAGGAGAGGAGAGGAGAGGAGAGAGCGGACAAGAGAAGGAGCGGGCCGGUUGCUGGUCAUCCGUAAUUUGGCUAAGGAAGAAAGGAGCAGCUUCUUUCUUUGUUAUCUCCCGUGAAACCUUCACUUAGCAGGUGGACGGAGCCCCGCGACCGGGCAGAGUCCGGGCUCGCCCGAGGACAGGAGGAGGAGCGGGAGCCCGCGCGUCCCGGGAGAGCGCCCCGAGUGCAGGU